rnacentral:rRNA from 1 species
GGUUUUUAGAACUUAUUAAAAAUCAAACCUGCUCAAUGCUUAGUAAAUAGCCGCGGUAUCUUGACCGUGCAAAGGUAGCAUAAUCAUUAGUCUUAUAAUUAAAGACUGGAAUGAACGGUUUAACUUAAUUAUCCUGUCUCAUAAUAAUAUUUUGAAUUUUAUAUUUUAGUAAAAAAGCUAAAUUGCUAUUUAGGGACGAGAAGACCCUAUUGAGCUUUACAAAAAAUUUUAUUUUUCAUAAAAUAAAUUGAUUUUGUUCUACUGGGAUAGUAAGAAAAUAAAAUUUUUCUUUAUUAUUAUAAAUUUUAAUUUUUGUAAAAUCAAAAAAUUUUUAAACAAAAAUAAGUUACCAUAGGGAUAACAGCGUAAUUUUUUUUUAGAGAACAUAUCAAUAGAAAAGUUUACGACCUCGAUGUUGGAUUAAAAAUCCUAUCCUACGCAAUAGUAGGACAAAGGAAGUCUGUUCGACUUUUAAAUUUUUCCA